CCAGGAGAGCCGUCAGUCAGGCAGAAAGGCGGGGCCUGGCGCGUCAGCGGCGGGCAGCAGCCGGGGGGCUGCCGAUGGUCCCGGCAGAAGAUGGCGGCCGCCGGCCGGGCCGGGCCCUGAGCAGCGCCGCGCCCGCUCCGCCCGCGGGGCCGAGGCCGCCGGGGGGCAGCGCCCGGCCCUGGCCGCACGGAAUCUGACCUGGAAGAAGCCAGCCAUGAAAGGUCACAGGAAUUUGUACCGCCUGUCUCCACAAUUACUAACAAGUGCCUUCCUGCUGGACCAUCAGUUUGAGAAGACGUUCGUAUAGAACUGCAGUCUGAAGACGAGGAGACCUUUGAAACUUGCCACCAGAAACAUAAUUCAGCCACCCCUGGGGUUUUUGACACCUCCAGUACCAACUUAGACCUGCAGAGUGAAGAUAAAGAUUUAGAGUUCCUCUAAACACUCAGAGGAACCUCAAGGAGGGAGAAGCAAGGAUGAUGCAAGCAUCAUUCUUAUUAAUGCUCUGGGGAGGAGGACCUGGAACCCAUCUCUAGAGAUGCUUUGACUUACAGGAGAAAGAAAUGCAAUGCCUGUUUCCAGGAUGCAAAUACCCGUUUUGAAAACCUGUGAGCUUUGUUAAGAAGAUCCACCGAGACAGCUGUCCAAUGUUCAGCAUAACUGCAACGCUGAAAGCAGGAGCAAUCUCUGCAAGAUCAUGUGGUGGUGCUGGAGAGUGAUGGUGACUGCAGGAAGCACCGCACCGCCCUUCACCAAGACACUUGGCUUGGCAGCACCAGCAGCAGGAGUGCGAUGUGAGGGCACGAAGUGGCUGCAGGCUGCAGGGGCUGGAAGGUGCAGGAAAAGCCAUGGCUGGAAGCGGUGAGGAAGACAACCCUGCCUUGGCAUUGAGUGCAGAACUGAGCUGGAUCCUUCACCUGCUUGCUCUGUGUCCUGAUCAUCCACAAGUCCUGGAAAAAAUACGUGGAGAGGGGAAAACAACGAACCCACGAACGCACUGCGUGCUGUCAGUGCCCUUCCCUGCAGCAGCGAUAAGGAAUAUGCAGGCUUUGCAGUGGGGGAAGGAGCCUGUUUCAUCCCAGCAGCAGAUGAUGCCUAUCUCCUGGACAUUGCCUGUGCCACGUAAACCUGCUGGGGCCCAGAUUGCUGCCAGCGUUAUAAACCUCUGUCGUUCUCUGGGUGCCGGUAAGCCUUAUCUCUUCCAGGGAAUCUUAAUUAACAGGGAGUGGACUUUGCCACCUGUAUUGUGUUCUAGAAACCUUCCUCAAGGUUCUUCACAGCCAAACGAACUGGGGAGGGUUUGAGAGGAUGAAGGAAAGGAAAAACAAAGCGGUUCUUCUAAUGCCACCCUGGGUGGGCACCGCUCCGGGAGCAGCUGCAGCUUGGGCUCAUGCUGACCCCCUGCUUGCAGGGCCGUACUUUGGCAAAGGAGAACAUCACGAGGGCCCUUCAUGGGCCUUUGACAACUUAAUGUCCAUCUCUGUGCUCCCAGGGAGUCAUUCACUGGUGGCCUGGGAAGGGGAAGGUCUCCAUUUUGUGCCCCAUCUAUGUGUGAGGAUGGGGUGGCCCUGCAGCCUGCCGUCCCCAUGCAGUGUGAGGAAAAUGCAGCACGUUUCUCUUGUGCUCACUGCAUGGGACGCAAAGUGCUGCUUAAACCCAGCAGCAUGCACCAUGAGGGUGCUGAGGGACCACGGCGGGUCGUGGAGAUGCCUCGGUCCCUCCAGGUGACCUCGAAGGCCUGGCGGGGCGGCUGUAGGCCCGGCGGCCAUGCUCAGAGGCCUGCAAAGCUUUGUGCUGCUCCGUCCCGUGUCCCCUUCAGCAGAGGGCACUGCGUGUCCGUGCACAGCCCUCCUGGCCACGGGGGGAUGUCCUCUCCAUGGCUGGGGCAGGCAUGGACCAGCUCCCUGCCCGGCAGCCCUCUCCCCCUGCUCCCCGACAGCCCCCGGCUUGGGGUGAUGGAAAGCUUGGGGCUGGUGAGGGGAAGGAGGAGGCGCUCGCCUCAGCGGCUGGCAAAUUUAGAUCAAACGGCAGGAAAUCCGCUCUCGGCCGUGCAGGAGGACUUGGAAAGCGCUGGUCCUGCAGGAGGUCGUCCAAGACAAACAGGGAGCUGCCUGACGGGGCGGCCCUGGGCGGCCAGCAGGAUGGGCGAGCGCCGGGGAGCUGGGACGGCCAAGCUGUAAAAGCAGCUGGGCUUCGUGCCUCGCUGCGGUCGCUGCAGGGGGGCAGGAUGGUGCCCCAGCCCAUCGCCGUCCCCUGAAGCCAUCUGCUGGUUUUUUUUGUACGUCAGAACGAGAUAUUUGUCAGAGAGGCAUCAGCGUGGGCCCCUGUGUCCUCCUUGGUGGGAGCCUGUGUUUGGGGACAGGCUUCGGGCUCUACUAAAGGGACAUGUUUGUGUGCAGACGGAGCUGAGCAUCCCAAAGGGGAAGGCUGGAAGUACCUGCUCCCCACAGGGAGCCAGGUGCUACCUCAGGCUUUGCUGUAUCACAACCAGCUUCGAUGCAGCAGGGACUUCUCCUCGGUGGAGGUCUCUUUGGCCACUGAGGCGGAGAUCAGAGUCCCGUGAGUGCUCUUUGAGGCAUGUCCUGCUGGCUUUCACGGGGCAGGGAGGGAGAGUGGCAGAACUGGGGAGCGUUUCCUCUCCAGUGUCUGUGCUGGGUGAAACCUGGGCUUGUCCGAGCACUCCAGGAACCUGCCUGGGAGCUCACUUCUUCACUGAAGCCUUAUCAAGAGAGUGAAGGUGAUUGUCCAGGCUUGCUGUCCUCAGGAGAUAGGCUGCUUGGGGCUUUCCAGCAGGCUGCAAUCAGCGGCUGCCCUCUGACAGCAGCGAAGAUAAAGGCCCCUGGAGGUCAGCAUGCUGCGGCAUAGCCAGAUGCUCAAUCCCCAGCAGAGGAGCUCAGCUCGCUCCCUCCAGCUCCCUGCUGGACACGGGAAGGGGAGAGGUCCUCAGGUGUGUCCAGCUGGCGGCCGGGAGGCUGCUCCGAGCCGAGAUAAGGACCUGUGGCUGUGCCAGCCCGCCAGAUGGACGCGGAGGUGAGCUCCAGCAAGCUCUGCACCGUGUCCGUCCUGCAGGAGCUGGGCUCACUGGCUUGCCAUCGGGAUGCAGCCUGGGAGGCUUUCCUCAGAUGAAGUGUUGGGAAAAGUCCUUGGCUGCUGGGCUCGCGGGGAUUGCACAGCCCUCGGGCUGAUGAAUGUGGACAAGACCUCUGCUCGCCGCUGGCAGGCAGCUGGUGUGAGUGCUUCCAGAAGGCAAUUGUUCUGUGCCUUGCAAACAGGUUGGGGUUAGGUUAUUUAGUGCCCGUCAGUCCCCUUAGGAGCCUGCCUCGGGGACCUUCCCUCUCAAUUGUUCGCAAUCUUCCACCGACUUCCAGCCCAAACGCAUCCGCGGCCGGCUUUUUGCUCAUUUGUUCUGGAGCCAGAGGCCAGUGCUGGCACAAACAGCCCUUCUCCCUGCCCGCGCUCCUCGAUGUUGAUUUGAAAUAGUCUUUCUUUGGCCUUGGGUUUCAGAGUGAUGCGUUUCAAAACCAGAAAUAAAUGGGCUUGAAAUAUUUCCCAUAAUUUUUUGCAAGAUCUUGACCCUCUGAUAGCAAGAUUAGAAUAAAGAUAACAAGAAAAUCAGCAUUCAGGCUGGAACCACUGUUGUUAAAGUAGACAACCCAGCAAAGCCAGUACUUUUUGUUUACAACUGAACUCAUGAAUUUUUAGAUAUUAAUGUAUGAAGGAUUGAGUAAACAACCAUUGUGCCUCUAAGGAAUGAGUCCCAGGCUGUCCUGAGCUGGAAUACUUUGUACUUUCCUGAUUGCCUUCCAAGAAUUUCAAAUUACUUUGUAGCAGAAAAACAAGCCUGCUUCACGAGACGUGUGCGAGCUUCUCGGGGCAGCCUUAAUUCAUCCAGGCUGUGAUGUUUUUGGGGCAGAGCUGUGCGUCAGGGCCCGGGACGCUGAGCACGGAGAUGUUCACGGUAAGGUGAGGACGAUGCAUGGAGAACAAACUGCUCACAACGGCAGAGCCAGCCAGGCUCUUCUCCUUUCAGGAGUAUCUGGGAUGCUCUCGGGCUUGGGUGCACAAGAUCAGCCCCAUGGACCAGGUGACAAAGGGAUGUGUGGCCAUGGCGUGUCCCCAUUGCCGUGCCAAGCUCUCCAGGAGGCUGCAGCCCGUGUUACGCACCCACAGGCUCCCCGGGCUUACCAGGGCGUUUCUGAGCACGGUGACCCUGACCACAGGCUGUGGUGUGCUUGCAAAUUGCCCCAUAUUCCUGGGUUUCCUAUGUGAGUGCUCUCCAGGAGCAGCCAGCCCCUUUUCUUCAACCAAAAAUAAUGUUUGGAAUUGGAGACCAGGGUGAUUUAAUGUCCCUGCCUCUCCUGCGCGGCCCCAGUGCCAUUUGCUUAAUGUUUGUACUGCUGUCAGUGCAGUCCUGCCCUGGCAUCGUGGCCACGCUUUGGCAGAGUGGGCAGGAUGGGUCCCUCGCUACCUGGGUCGUGCUUGGGUAUGGUUUCAAAGCCAGCAGCCUGGAGCUGUGGAAAGAGUCAUGAAUUCGGGUUACCAAACCAUCUGCUGGCUGCAUUUUGAGAAGCAAUUAAAGCAAAAUUGUUUCCAGCCCUUCUGUUUGCAAGAUGUAGUUUGAAGAGAGCUAGCCAAGCCAGGAUUUGCCUGAUCCUGCCACAGCUCCAAGUACGAGUUAAUUUGCUCUGGUACCCAUGGUGUGAGGCGAUGAGAUCUCCCCCGAGGAAGCGUGCCAGUAAGGGGCUGUUAGCAGAGAGGCUCCAAUGGCGUGAAACCCAUGGAACCUAUUUUGGUUACCGUAUUUAUUGCUUUUAAUCAGAAAUUAUUAAAUAGGGUAAAAAGUGUAGGGCGCAAGACCCCUUCUGUAGGGUGGAGGAUGGCGGGGAGGGGACUGCAUCGAGAUGCCCCUGCAGAGAUGCUCUGGUGGUGACCCUGGCACCCAUGGGGCCCAGACCCUGUGUCCAACAUCCUUCCCUGAUCCCAAGCCCCUUGGCUGUGCCUCCUCUUGGACACUGAAGCCGGUCCCCUGUGGGGACAGUUCGCCUUGGUGGCACCUCUUGUGACUGCUCCUGCAGCGCUCUGGGUGCAAGGCGGAGAGAAGAGGUGAGGUCUGAUGUUAUGGAGGUAUUUUUUAGGCUGAAACAUCUCUUUUUUUUCCAUCAGGAGAAGGCAGCAGCCUCAGUGCUGGGCUUUGAUGGAUGGCGGGGUGGGCUGUGGGAUGGCAUGGUGGUGGCUGGUGGUGUUGUGGGAUCCGAGCAUCACUAAUGGGCACAGCCAGCUGAACUGAGCCUGGGGAAAGGCUGCGUAUCAGGGGGAAAACAACCUCAAGGGGCUCAGAGGGAGGCAGGAGAGGGGUCCUUCUUGGCUGGUGGAGCGGGAUGCUGCUUGGUUUGCAAGAAAAGAGCCCUGAGAACAGUGCCGAGCUGAGCCGGCUGCUUAUGCAAGAGCUGGCAGUGGGGCCGGUUGUACCGAAAGCCAGCGGGUGCCAGCGGGGCGCGAGCGGCUCCGCGUCCUCCUGUUUGCUCAGCAGCUUUCGUGUGGCGGGGGAGCGGGGCGAGGGCGCGAGAUUCCUGCACACUGAACUCCUCUGUUCCUCUCGGCGGGGUAAACAGGACACAAAACAAAGCCCCGAGCCAGCGCUCGCCUCCGAGGUAGUGCCCUGCCAGCCCCCCGGAGUGCAUGGCGGUGAUGGGGCCGCGCUCAGCUCCUCCGGGGGGUUUCUGGAUGCUGGCGCCGUGGAUGGAUGGAUGAGGGUUGUCCAAGGGUGAGGAACCAGCAGGAAAAAAGGGGGUGAAGCACCCCAGAAAGCGUGGGCAGGGAUCAGACAACCAGGCCAGCAUCCUCAGAGAGCUGAGAUACGGUGAGCCCAGGCACCGUGCCAGUGCCAACCAGGUUGGGUGCCCCCUGCAAGGGGUUUCACCGUGCCCCUUUGUGGGGGACUGAGCCCCAUCGGAUGUGCGAGGAGGGAAUGAACGCCACCACUCUCUGCACUGAGCUCCCUGCACGGGGUGUCACUGCUCUCGCAAAGCCCUGCUGCUGUGUUUGCAAUUGCCCCGAAGGAGUGGUUUCCAGGCUCCCUCGUCCCCAUGCGAGAUGCCUGUCAGUGACAGAGGGCGAUGGGGCUGACCUCAGCCCUUUCCCAACGCGCUGUUAGCUAAUCCAGCUCCCCGGGGACACAGCUGUGGGGCUGGGCCCCCGCCAGCCCGAGCCUGUGCCAGCUCCCCUGCGUUUCCACAGCGCCACGAUUGCACCACCGCAGCCUUGUGCGGGGCAAGGUGAGGAGGCAGGGAGCAAGCGCUCACUGCUGCACCUCCACACGCUUCUGGGAGUUUCCUUUCAAGAAGGAUUUGCACCCAAGGCUCCCGUAGCUACCUUGAAGUCACCCGGUAGGGGAAAAGCACUGGCCAAGAGCGAGGUGUUUUGGUGCUGCUCUGUGUCCUGGCUGUCCUCCCCAUGGGAUGCUGAGGGUGUGUUAUCCCCAGCGCCCUGCCGUGCUCCUCGCAGCGCCUCGCGCAGCGGCACCGCUGGCUUCUGCUCCUCAAAGGAAGAGGUUUUCUGCCCUGAAAGCUCUUUUGCUUGCCAUGACCUGGGGGCUGCGUGCCCUGCCUGUAAAAACCUGUUGGAAAUGCAGAGGUAGGGAGGGCAGUGACCACGGGAUGCCAAACCCCAGGGAUGCAGCGAGGGAUGCAGGAGCGUGCCGGGGGUCUGGCAGCUCAGCCCCCCCCCUUCACCCCGCUCUGAGGCGCAAUGUGGUCACAAGCUGCGUUCGCAGGAAGGGAUCAAGCACUCAAAAGCAGCGCGGGAUCAAAGCUUUCUAAACACUCAGGGCAUUUGGCCCGGGAGGUUUUGUUCCAUCUAUUUAUAGCAGUGGGGCCAAGCGAGUUCAGAGUUGGAGGCAAACUUUUCCAAAGCUGGGGGACGUUUGGAGCGGGGAGGGGGGAAAGGGAGCUCGGCCAGGCCCGUCUCCAGCAGGCGUUGACUCCUUCCCUUAGGUAUGUGUUGCUCUCCAUGACACACCAACAACAAGCCCGCAUAGCAGCGCCCGGCCGAGGCUGCAGAGAUUGAAGCAAAAAUGUGAAUUGGCUGGGAAGGGGAACAUGAAAUAGAGAGUUUCCAAACAGCAAAGCCCAGUUUGAAAGUGAAAACGGUUUCCCUACCAGCAUGUUUCUGCCCCCGGGGCACCAUCCUUCAAUGACAAGUAUGCUGGUAUUGUUUUCCAGGGGAAGGCUGGUGAUGAUUUCAGGGCAAAAUAAAGGGAGAGGGCUUCCUGCAGCGUGUGCCGUGCUUAGAAAUGGAGAGGAGGGGUCUUCUAACCCUUCAAGGUGACACUUCGGUGAUGUAACCGAAGAACACGUUGUUUUUCUGUGCUGCUCCCUGUAGUCCAAGCCAAGCAAACAAACCCAGGAGCACAGAUGUGAAGCUGUGCCACGGUCACACCGCUGCCCUCGCAGGAGCUGGGGUUUCCUUGCAUCCACCAAGUGACUGGCGCUAGCAGUGCUUCAUAGCGAGGGGCACGAGCGGCACGCUUCGGAUACACAAAGCAGCUUUUGCAUGCCUAGAUCCCCUCUCUUGCUGGGAAGGCUCACUACAGGUUAUAAAAAUACCUCGCUAAUUACCAGGAGCUUCCUAGCAUGCCGCCAAACCUCCGCUGCUCUGUGGGAGCAGCAUCUCCGAGCUCGCUCCUCCAUGAGGAAAGGGUGCAAUUAGGCUCACAGGUAAUUAUAACCAGCGUAACGAGGGGGUGGCUUGAGGAAAGGGGGUUUGGCAGCCGGGUGGAGUCCAGCCCAGGUGCUCUCCUGGCCGGGGUGGUGCGGGGGUUUGGCACGCUGCUGCGGGCUGCAGGAGCUGGGUGCUGGGUUAGCGUGUUAGCGAGGCACACAAGUGUCCCACGUGCGUGCCCCGGGUUGUUUUCAGAGAGAGGAAUGCACAGCUGGAAGGAUUCCUUCCAUCUCCGCCACCAGAGGAGCUCUCCAGAGGCAGAGGGUGCCCAUCCUGGCUGGGGAAGCCGAAGCGUGCUCCUUCAGGGAACGCUGUGAGAGCCUGGUGGGUUUUUAGAGGGAAUGGGGUGACCUGGAAGGUGGGAGCAAUGACUGAUGCAGAGCUCAGUGGUGUAAAACAAGUCUUUGAGCUUGAGGAGCAAGAACGUACAAUAAGAGAGGACUUGACAUUGUCUGAAGGUGGCAGAGAAGAGCCUUGGACUAUCCACAGAUCUUGCCGUGACCAUAAGACACCGCCUGAGUGCCAUCAUGCGAAAGGUGGAUGCACUUUUAGGGGACUCUCGUUACAAGGUUUCUCCAUUGACACCAAAACCUUCAGGGAAGCCCCACCAAGACCUCUGCUGGAGCAGCAGGUACAGACCUUCCCCCAGAAGAUCAUCCUCUGGGUAACUGUCCUUCAGAUGGUCUUCAUCCCCCCGCAGAUCCUCCUGCCCCCAGGAAACGUGGGGCUGGAGCGAGCGCACGGCCAACCCCUGACCUGGUUGCUGGCUGUCCUUCCCCACCUUGGCUCUCCAGCUUGGCAGCAGCAGGCUCUCAGCCUGGUUUCCACCCCUACCAAGCAGCAGAAAAUGUUCUUUUUUUCCUCCUAAUGACGGUGACGAGCGUUCACCUCUCGCUCUGUACGUGUCCGUGCUCUGAAAGCCCGUCCUUGUGCUUGGUGCUGGUGUUCCCAGCUCCGGGCUUGGGAAGGGUGCACCAGCCAACUGGACAGUCCCCCGUUCCGCAAUUAACAGACAAAAUGCCCACCACUGUGGCUGGAAAGAGGUUUUAAUUAAAAUCCCUUGGUAUUGGCCCCAGCCGGACUGUGAAGAGGAGGAGGGCAGGGGCCUGGGUCAUGCCUUGGGUCACCCCAGCGGAGCAUCCCUGAGCUGGGGCUGGAGACAAGGCAGGGCCUGCUUUUUAAUUGCGUGCUUUUUUCUCUUUUCUUUUUCCCUUGGGUGACCUGCCCAGUGGACAUUUGCUGAUAGGAGCACAGAGAGCCCAGCCGACAAUUGGGACAGGUCCACAGGUCAUUUGAGUCCUAAUGAGGAACCCUGAAUGGACGCUCACAUCGCUCUCAAGGGAAAAGCACCUCGCCCUCUUCUCUAAUGAGCACGGCUCUCAAAAUCCCUUUGUCUUGGGCUUUGCUUGGCUCUCAGAGGUACACGGGGACACGUCUUCCAGGCUGCCCUCACCUUCCCUGCCUCCCUUUCCAGGACAGUGCCUCGCUGUGCUUGGUGGCCGGGGAGGAUUUGGUGGCAUUGCGAUGAGCAAAGUACGGGGCUGGUGGGGUCACAUGAUGCGGCUGGUUUGGGUCCGAGGCACCUUAAGACCACCUAGUUCCAGCCCCCAAAGUCCCAUUCAAUUUGGCCUUGGGCACCUCCAGGGAUGGGGAUACCCCCGGGUGGAUGAUCCCUCCGUGCACGUGCCCGUGAUGUGGUGGACGUGAGCUGCAGGUGCUGCUUGGAGUGAUGUCUGCUCCCCUGGGAAAAUUAACAACAAAAUCCCCAACAAAACACACACAGACAUCACCCGAAAACCCCCAGGAAGCUGGAAGCAGGACGGGGUCCCGCGUCACCCCGCUGGUUUCCAAAGUAGCCAGCCCCCUGGGCCUGUUUGUUCCCGCUGCUCGGGACAGUGAUGGAUUUUCUGGCCUGCAUGCUAACGAGCGGGCAGAAUUAAGAAAUAACAGCAGCUGAACGGGUGCCAGCCCCGCAGCUUGGCACUCCAGGGCCAACAUUAGGAUCUCACCAUCCCGUGUUACCCAUCAGCACGGCAUCGGGGCUGCUCCAAAAUAUAUUUUUUGAAAACUCGGGCUGCUCAAGUAACUUUUAGGGGUGAAAGCCCCCCUCGUUUUCAUGCUCCAGGCCCAGAGCCAGCCCUCGUGCAGCAGGAUGGAGCAGACAUCGGGCACCGGGAGUGGGGAGAGGGUUUUCCUUUUUGCUUGCUCUCUGGCCUAGAGAAAUCAAUGGGGUUUUACACGUAGAAGAAUAAAAUCAAUCCUUUCCUGCUGCCACUUCAGUUUCUCUCCCCGGAUUUGGGGUAUAAUUUUGGGGUGUAAAAUCCUCGGAGAGUCUCAGCGUGCACUGCUGAAGGAGGAGAUGGCACCGGGAUGAACCAAGGCUGGUGGCUUCAGCUCGCCCCACAGGCAGGGCAGGAGCAUCCAGUGGCAUCACCAAGGGCUCCUUGGGCAGAGCCGAGAGGGAGCCCGGCUCCCCAAAUGGCGCAGGGCAGCUGGAGAGCUGUGCUGCUUUGGGGAGCGCUGCGGGGAGCAGGCCUUCAGCCCUGCUGCCUGAAGAGGGGGCAGUUCACACGGCCAUCGCUCCCACCGGCCUAGAAAAUGGGAAAAAAGAAACCUUUAAAGCAGCUUAUUACGUCUCUGGCGCCUUUGGGGAUGGAGCCUGUUUGGAGAUGGGAGCCCUUUUCUGCUACGGCACCGUUGAUAAGGAAUAACCCAAGCCCUGGCUUGCUGGCGAGCUUUGCACAAGCAGGUGCAGAGCCCCACGCACACCCCAGCCCCUCUUCAAGCUCAGCACCCCCUGUCCCCCAAUAUCCCAUCAGGUAGGGGCCCACAGGCAGCUCUGUGCAUCCCUCCCCUCUCACCAAAACUGGUGUCAUCCCCAGGACACCUCUGCUGAGCCCAGAGGGCACGCGCACAAAGGUCCUCAUUAGCUGGGGAAAAAGACGUGGAAAGGCAUUAAAAAAUUUAGCACCUGCUCCAGGAUCUCCGUAGCUGAAGCUGAGAACCCACGCUGCAGGUUUGGAUGGAUAAAAAUCAACUGUGCUCCUGUGCAAGUCUCUGGAGGAGCUGGGCUUGGAGCACGGCUGCGCCGUGAGCUGGCUGGCUGCUAGGAUUCAGUGCAUGGCCAGACACAUCCCGUGCCUGUCCCAAAGAGGUGACAUUGCAAAAGGAAACCUGCCCAGAGGCAAAAAUGAAUCAGGCUGUGCCACGGUGGAGGCACAAACCCUGUCCUCCAGGCACGUGGAGCUCCUCUCCUGCUGCCCAGCACCUGGGGAUGCCCGGGCAUCCUCCAGCCCCACUGCACGGGGCACGGCGGGGACCGAGGGAAUAACGAGGUGCUGAAAAUAAGGAAGCAGCAGGCAGAAAAUAAAUCACUCGCGGGAGCCCAAGGCUGGGAGCUGCGUCGGGAGGCUCCGGCUGGCUACGCCCUGAUUUGUGGUCUGACCUCGGCCGCACUGAUUGAGCUGCUCAGGCCCUGGCUCGGCUGGCUGGAAAACCGAGAGGAAUAAAAAGCCGGACGGCGGGGCUGGGCCUGGAGUUUGCUUCUGCAGAUAAAUUGCCAGGAGGUGAGGAAAUUGGCGGCGUGGUCAAACAGCCUGUCCUGGUGGGAUGGCCAUGGGGAGGGAGCCGGAGGCAUCCGCUGGAGGAUGCUCACACCCCAGCAGGUGGCUGUAUCCGCCUCUCGCAGCAAAGAUUUUAUCUCGAGGCACCUCUGGCACCUGCAAAGCUUCUUUGGGGGGACCCCGAGUGAUGAAGGGAUUAUUAAAGCUCACGGGGAUGGAGCAAUAACCGCACCCUGCUCUCAUUUUCCCCACAGCCCCCAGCAGCAGGAGCAGGUUCCUUCUGUUCCUGAUCCCAUCUCUGGCCUUUCUGCGGCUGAAACAGCAAAAGCAAACGGAGAGUUGUACCCUGAGGAAUGGCGCGGAUGCAAGAAGCAGAAAAAAAAUCCCCUGUUAUAUAUAAAAAGACAUAUAUAAAUGCUCA